ACAGCAGUUUGGGGACUUUGGGGACACCUUGUAUAUUCAGGUUUUUGAAUUCAGAUGGAAGAUAAAACUUUAGGAACAGAGGGAACCAGAAAGUUGGUAACUGCAAACUUUUUUUAACCAUUGCUUUCCAAGGGAGCUAGUCCUUGUCAAUAUGGUUGGGACAUGAAAAUGUUGCUGGUUUAAUCUGAAACUAUCCAAACAAAAUAUUGAAUUUCUUCUCUCCUACUUCCCUCCACCUUUACCAUUUCCACCAUAUUCUGACCAAAACCCAGUAGUUUGCAUAUUUCAAGAAAACCAAGCAAAUAGACCUGGAUAUCUCUGGGGAUUAAAUUCAGAAUUAUGAGGAACAUGGAUUCAUGAGAACCCUUCAUUGUUACUGAGCUGGUUUAACUUGUCUCAUCAUCAGCUUCUUGGUGAGGGUGGGGUUAGCAUGGAAAAUGCUUAAUGAGUACAGAAUGUGGACUCUGAUGCAAAUGGAGCUCCAUGAGGAGGAAAGGAAAGACAAAUGUGCUCAGCCAUGCCCAUGAGAGAGACAUUUAGAGACUAUAAGCUGCUAAGAACUGGGAACCAUGUUGGACUCAGAAGAAUAGUCACCAACCCAGUGAUAAAAGAAAAAAAGGAACCAAUGGGAAGGUGCCAAGUGUAGAUGCGUAGCCUUACAUAGCACAGACCAGUGUGACUAGGCUGUCUACAGACCUGUAUCCCAGAAGCAGACCUAGAUAUUCUGGGUUCCUUGGAGCCCAGCUGUCUUGAUCAACUUUGGAAGGCUUUGAGAUCCUGGCCCCAGACCUGCAAGAACUGGCCCCAAAGGAAGCAAAAGUGGAUUCGAAAAUGGAUAGAUACGAAAUCCAAGGCGUAUCGAAGGUGAAGAAACUAACUAGGAUAGUAAGAAUAUAAUUUGAUUUGUUGAGGGAGAUAAGAGUGGGCAAGAGAAAAAAAGAUGAAAAAAUUCAAUGAAAGAAAUAAAAGGAAAGGGAAGAACAAAGGAGGAAAGAUAGAGCAGAAGAGUAAAGGGCCAAAUGAAAACAAACCUAUUAGACAGACUCGGGGGUGGCCAGGUAGAUAUGAGCCCUGAAAUCCAAUGGAGUGGAAUAAAUAAGGGACAUAAAGUAUGAUCUGUGAAAAGGAAAAUUGUAAAUGAAUUUUGAGUUUAAAAUAAGAUAAGGGAAAGGAAUGAGAAGCAAAAAGGAUGAGAACUAAUAAAUGAAAAGUGUAAAGAUUGGGAAAGAUCAUCAGUAUAGGCAGAGAAAGGAGAAGAAACUGAAGACUAGAGAAAAUGAAGGAUAGAAAGGACUGGUAAUUGAAGGUGUAAGAGAAGAAAUUAGAAGGAAAAAGAAAGUAACUAGAGUGAAAUUGAUAAUGAAAGAAGAAAUGAGAGAUGGAGAAAAAAGUCUGAAAAUAAGUAUAAGUGAUAGAGAGGUGAAAUGUAUGGCUAGAUAUAAAUAAAUAAGAGAGAAGAGAAAAAGAAAGAAAGGGGGAGGGAAAAGGAGAAAAACAAGAAUUUAUUAAACACCUACUGUAUGUCAAGAACCAUGUUAAAUACUUUACAAAUAUUAUCUUGUUUGAUCCUCACAACAACCUUGGGAGGAAUACCAAGCCACUGCAUCUGCUUAAUUUUGCCAAUCUGGAUGUCCUGUGUCUAAGCGGUCCUGAAGCACUUGCCAGAAGGAACCAUUCUUCUCCAGUUUUAUACUUUCUUACAAGGGUCUGAAGUAGCCACAGGGUUAUACUGCCACCACAAAGGACACACUGGGAAGAAGUUAUAUGAGGAACGUUGACACAAUUACAGUGAAUGAAGGCACCAGACUUAGCAAGUGCCAGUGAAAUACUUUGUUCAAUUACUGAGCUAAUCUAAAUAUGUCUUGAGAAAUUGGGGUCGAUGUAGUUUUAGGUAUAGCCAAUCUGAGACUAUAUGUGGUAUUAUGUCCAUCAAAGAGGGUGUCUGUCUCUACUAGUAGAGCAGGCCCUUGUGGAUGUAUCUAAGACCACUUCCAUAUUUGUGAAAAUUUGAUUCCAAAAAUCCUAAAAUUUUGUUCUGGCUAUGUAGGGCUGGGUAAGUUUAUAAGACUUUCCUUAGCAGUUCUAUAAGACUAAUAAAAAAGGCAAUCAUAUAAUGGGAGGACCUAGAUUAUAAAAUCCAAAUUGAGAAUCUCCUAUUUCUCAAGCUUUUUUUGGAGAGACCAGUGUCCAGUCCUUACUUAGGGGACCCAUAGAAAGGUGAUCCAUUCCCUCUACAAUUCCUGCAUUAUUAUAACCAGACAACUACUGGGUCAGAUGAAAUUAUAACAUAUGCUAUAGCUUAAGCUUUGUUAUUCCCACUCAAUUAUACCAAGAUUUAUAUCAUGGAGAAGCUGAAAGAUAAGAAUGUAGUUUGGGUCAAAUGGAAUGGGACUGACUGGAUCACAUGGGAGCCCUGCUGGUGCCAGCAGAAGGACAAGGGUUGGUUCUGCUCCCAUUGGGAUUCCAAACCAUUCUUGAAGCUCCAGAUAGCCAACCAAGAACCUCUGCCAGACUGUUACUUAAUUCAUGAACAAAGGGAGGCCUUUAUUUCUUGGAUCAUCAUUUCAUUAUUGAUUGUGCUUGUGGUGCUAUGCUGUUUGUUCAUCAAAAAGUAUCGUCAGAGGAAGAUGGGAUUACGGUGCAGAUUGGACCUCUGAACCAUUCUUUUUAAAAAUGGAGGUUAGAUGGCAGAAACUGAGUGAGACUGUUUAGCUCUGGAUUUAAUCUGCUUUAGUACUGUUAUUAAAUGGAGCUUUGAUUGGAUGGUUGAAAGAAAUAUUUGAUGGGUUGAAUGUUGUAGUGGAAAAGGGAAUUUUGAGGAGGGGCAGGUCUGGACAAAAAGGAAAGAAAGAGACUAACCUGCCCAGUAACCAUAGCAACAUCUCUAAGGGUGAAGUGGACAAGUACCCUCAGCACUUUGUUGAUUACAGCAGUCAAUCACCAGCUCAAAUCAGUAAUGACAGAAAUGUAGCCACUGGGGACUUAGGGAUUUAUGGAUCUUUGUAUAGCAAAGCCAGACAAACUCUUGUCUUUGAAGUAUCUCCUGAGAUUAGGUUAGAGGUAGAACCUGAGGCAGGGGAACAAACCUAUCUCCAAAUGUGUGUGCCCAAAAUAGGGGAUAUUGACAAAUAAAUCUUUACUCUGGAAUCCUGUUUUCAACCCAAGGGAACUGCCCAACUCCAGAGGGAAUGGCUUUAAGGAGGGAGGGAAAGUUGAUCUAAACAAAGCAAAGCAAAGCAAAAUAAAACUACAUAACAACCAUAAAAAUAACAACUCUAGACUACUUCUUUAAAUUUGCCUUUUGCUAAGUCAUUUUUGUCAUCCUAAAAAGUCAGAAAUGUUCCUUGUUUCAAGGAAACCAGCCCAGAUUACACAAAGGCAUCAUUGUGUAAUCAAUAUUUUUGAAGGGCUAGAUUUGAAGCUAGAGAAUACAGAUUCAAAUUUUGAUCACUACUUCCUACGUGUGUGAGACCCUGUGCAUGGCACAAUCUCUCCAUAUCUCCUGUUUUCUAAUCUGUAAAAGAAGGCAGUUAAACUAGAUAACAUCUAAGCCCUUUCAGCUCUACAUUUAGGUUUUGAAGCAGUAUAGGUAUCAAUUCCAAAACACACAAGAAACUUGUUGGCGCUUUGCUUUUCUGGAAAUAAAACUAAAUUUCUCUCUCCAUUGCCUGCCUACCUGUAUACACCUAUCUACCCCCAGCCUCAGGCAGGAGAGUUUCCUCUUAACUGUGGUGAAACAGAACUGCCUUUUGCAAGACAAGAUUUCCUUGAUUUGAACAGGAACAACUUUCUCUCAAACUGGUUUUUUGCAGAGUUCAGCAGAGGUUAAACAGCCUGAAAAGGCCAUAUUUCCUGGUAUCUUCUAACUGGCUUUCAAGAUAAUUAACCGAGAUGAAAGCCUUCCCCUUAAACAGUAACUACAUUCCUGGAGAGAAGGCAGUGGGAAAGAAUGAGAGCUGAGGAUCCAUCCCAGAUACCUUGUUGACACUGAGCAGCUCCUUUGGCACAGGCUGCCACUACCUGUGUGAUCCAGUGAUGAGCGUUUGAUACAGGUGACAGCUGUGAGACUCUAGGGAGUAUAUUUUGCUUCUUGCCUGGAGGUUUUACUUGAGCACUUAACACAUUAUUACCUACUACUCCCUCUCUGCUUCACUCUUUCCCUUUGUUGAAAGAAAAAAUGACUCUCCCCAUUGCACAGAGGGGAAAAAUAAUACCUGCCUUGAGACAAUAACAAAAUAUUCAUGAAAAUAAAAUGAGCACUCUGUCCUCGGCAGGAGUCCCAGCUUGGCAUUAAUAUGGUACAGGUAGUUGGUUUCUACAUGGUGAUAAUUAGAGGUCAUUUUUACUUUAUAGUCACUCGAAAGUCUUAUUUUCUUACAAAUGCAUAAAUUAUGCAGACAAGUCUACAUAUGGAAGGCAGCCUUGUAUAAUAGAAGGCUAGCCUUGAAGUCAAGAAGUCCUGGAUCACAAAUCCGAUUUUUAGUUGUGUGAGCACAAGCAAGUUACUUAAUUUCUCAGAGCUUCGGGUAAUUUUUAAAAAUAUUAUUUUUUAUCAUUUAAAAAAUUAAAUUUCAUUUUAUUUUCAAAUUUUCAUUCUCUCCCAUCAUCUACCACAUCUCCCACUGAGAAAGUAAGACAAAGAAAAUCCCUAAAGGAAAUUUGUAUAUUCAAGCAAAACCAAUUCCCAUAUUGGUCACAUCCAAAGAAAUGUCUCAAUUUGUAGUGAGUCUAUCAUCUCUCUAUGGGUAGCAUGCUUCUUUAGUCUUCUGGAAUUGUGGUUGGUCAUGAUGCUGAUUAGAAUUACUAAAUUUUCAAAGUUGUCUUUAGGAUAUUGUAUGUUCUCAAUUCAUUCUGCAUCAGUUCAGUCUUCUUACAUUUCUCUAAAACUAUACCCUCCAACACUUUUUGUAGCACAAUAUACAGUAUUCUAUCAUAUUUACAUAUGAUAAUUUGUUCAACUAUUCUCCCAGUUGAUAAAUACCUCUGCAGUUUCCAAAAGGUAUUGACAUAAAUGUUGAGUCCUUUUCUUUUUUUUUUUUCUUUUUUUCUUUGUUGGAUCCUCUUCAAUGGAUACUUUUUUAAAAAUUGAGGUUUAAAAAUAAUAGUGGUAUUGCUAGAUCAGAGUAUGCACAAUUCAAUAGCUUUUGGUGCUAUUCUAUUAUUCUAGUAGUUCUAAACUACUUUCCAGAAUAACUAGACCUAUUAUCAGCUCUACCGACAGUAUGUUAAAGUGUCAGUUUUCUCACAAUCCCUCCAUCAUUUGUCAUUUUCCUUUUUUGUCAAAUUUACCAAUUUGAUGAAUUUGAAUUGAAACUGUUUUAAUUUGCAUUUAAUCAUUAGUGAUUCAAAUAAAGUCAGAUCUAAUUAACUGGAAAAGUAUUGUGCCCAUGAAUAGGACAAGCUAAUAUAAUAAAAAUGACAAUAGUACCUAAAUUAAUCUACUUAUUCAGUUCCAUACCAAUCAAACUCCCAAGAAAUUAUUUUACAGAUCUAGAAAAAUAGUAACAAAGUUCAUCUGGAAGAACAAAAGGUCAAGAAUUUCAAGGGAAUUAAUGAAAAAUGCAAAUGAAGGUGGUCUAGCUAUGCUAGAUCUAAACCUAUAUUGUAAAGCAGCGGUCAUCAAAACCAUUUGAUACUAGCUUAGAAAUAGAGUAGUUGAUCAGUAGAAUAGGUUAGGUUCACAGGACAAAAUAGUCAAUGACAAUAGUAAUCUAAUAUUUCAUAUACCCAAAGACCCCAGCUUUGGGGAUAAGAACUCAUUAUUUGACAAAAACUGCAGGGAAAAUUGGAAACUAGUAUGGCAGAAACUAGCCAUUGACUCACACUUAACACCCUCUACCAAAAUAAGGUCGAACUGGAUUCAUGAUUUAGACAUAAAGAGUGAUAUUAUAAGCAAACUAGAAGAACAAAGAACAAAAGAAACUAUACUAUUAGGUAUAGUUUACUUCUUAGAUCUGUGGAAAAGGAAGGAAUUUGUGGCCAAAGAAUAACUAGAAAUCAUUAUUAAACAAAAACAAAUAAUUUUAUUAUAUUAAAUUUAAAUGUAUUUGUACAAACAAAACUAAUUCAGACAAGAUUAAAAAGGAAGCAAUAAAGUGGGAAAACAUUUUUACAUUCAAAGGUUCUGAUAAAGGCCUCAUUUCUACAAUAAUUGACUCAAAUUCAUAAGAAUUCCUUCUAUUCUCCGAUUGAUAAAUGAUCAAAGGAUAUGAAUAGACAAUUUUCAGAUAAAGAAAAUAAAACCAUUUCUAGUCAUAUGAAAAGGUGCUUUAAAUCACUACUGAUCAGAGAAAUGAAAAUUAAGACAAUGCUGAAAUACCACUACACACCUCUCAGAUUGGCUAAGAUGACAGGAAAAAAUAAUGACGAAUGUUAGAGGGGAUGUGGGAAAAGUGGAACACUGAUACAUUGUUGGUGGAGUUGUGAACUGAUCCAACCCUUCUAGAGAGCAAUUUGGAACUGUGCCCAAAAGGCUAUCAAAAUAUGCACAUCCUUUGAUCCAGCAGUGUCUCUAGGGCUUAAACCCUAAAGAGAUCUUGAGGGAAAGGGUCCUGUAUGUGCAAAAAUGUUUGUGGCAGCCCUUUUUGUAGUGGCAAGAAAUUGGAAACAGAGUGGAUGCCCAUCAGUUGGAGAUUGACUGAAUAAGUCAUGCUUUAUGAAUGUUAUAAAAUUUUAUUGUUCUAUGAGAAAUGAUCAGCAAAAUGAUUUCAGAGAGGCCUGGAAAGACUUGCAUGAACUGAUGCUGAGUGAAAUUAGCAGAAGUAGGAGAUCUUUGUACGCAGCAAUAACAAGAUUAUAUGAUGAUCAACUCUGAUGGAUGUGGCUCUUUUCAACAAUGAAAUGAUUCAGACCAGUUCCAAUGAUCUUGUGAUGAAGAAAGCCAUCUAUAUCCAGAAAGAGGACUAUGGGAACUGAGUGUGGAUCACAACAUAGCAUUUUUAUUAUUGUUUGCUUACAUUCCAUUUUCUUUCUCAUUUUUUCUUUUUGAUUUGAUUUUCCUUGUGCUAUAAGAUAAUUGUAUAAAUAUGUGUGCAUAUAUUGGAUUUAAUAUAUAGUUUUACCAUGUUUAACAUAUAUUGGAUUACUUGCUAUCUAGGGGAGAGGGUGCAAAGAAAGGGGGGAAAUUUGGAACACAAGAUUUUUCAAGGAUUAAUGUUGAAAAUGUAUCCAUGCACAUCUUUUGAAAAUUAAAAAUCUUUAAUAAAAAAUUAUUAGUGAUUUAGACCAUUUUUAUAUGGUUAUUGAUACUUGGAUUUCUUCUUCAGAAAACUUCUAUUUCUGUCCUUUGCUAUAAUUGGAGAAUGGCUCUUAUUCUUCUACAUAUAAAUUAAUUCUACAUAUAUAUCACAGAAAUAAGACUUUGAUCAGAGAAUUUGCUGCAAAAUUUGCUUGUUUAUUUUUGCCAUUACUUGCUUCAUAUUUUAGCUGAGUUAGUUUGGUUUAUACAAAAACUUUUAAAUGUUAUGUAAUCAAAAUCAUCCAUUUUACCUCUCUAUCUCUUUUUUUGAUCAAACUAUUAUAUGCUAUGUAUUGUAUUAACUAAAGACUUUACAAAUUUUUUUUAAACUGUUAGCCUAAUCUGUUUCAAUGAUCAAACUCUAUUUUUUACCCAGUACUAACAUGUUUUGCUGAUUACUGUUUUGUAGUAUAGUUCAAAAUCUGGUAGUUUUAAAGUUUCCUUCCAUUCCAUUUUUUCCCAUUAAUUCUUUUGAUACUCUUGAUCUCUUGAUCAAGUUUAAUUUUAGCAUUAUUUUUUCUAGCUCUAUAAAAUAAUCCUUUGAUAGUUUGAUUAGUGUAAUAUUAAAUAAGCAAAUUAAUUUAAGUAGUUAUUGUCUUUUUUUACUAUAUUGGCAUGGCUUCUCCAUAAAUAAUUAGUAUUUCAUCAAUUAUUUAGAUCUGUCUUUAUUGGGGUAAAGAUUAUUUUGUAAUUGUGUUAUAUAAUUUCAAUAUGUGUCAGCAGAUAGACUCACAAUUAUUUCUACUUUUUGUAGUAAUUUUAAAUAGAAAUUAUUUGUCUAUAUCUUCCUGUUGGAUUUUGUUGAUAACAUACAGAAAUGCUGGUUAUUUAUAUGUGAUUACUUUACAUCCUGCAAUAUUGUAGAAUUUGUUAAUUGUUUCAGUUAGUUUUUAAUUGAUUCUCUAAGUUUUUCUCUAAAAAAAAUUAUAUCCUCUGCAAAAAAGAGAUCAUUUUAUUUCCUCAUAGUUACACUUAUUUCUUCAAAGUCUUUUUCUUAUCUUAUUGCUAGUACUAUACUAAAUAGUAGUGGUGAUAAUGAAUACCUUUGUUUUAUUCUGCAUCCUGUUAAAGGGACCAUUAUCUUAUUUCCAAAACAAAUGAUGCUGGCUCUUGGUUUUAAAUAAAAAUAUUUAACAUAUUAAGGAAA